UUCCAUCCAGCUCCCCAGAUCUGUGCCUUUCAGAAAACGGUCACAUUUUCAUCACAGAGCUAUCAGGAUUUCUGGGAGUCAGAUCCUUAGCUUGUUGAAGGCCUCAGGCUGAUAGUCAAAAGGAUUUCAGGCAUGCUGAAAAUGGCUGCAGAUCCACACAGAAGAUAACAGUCUGCAACUGUGGCCAGUUACUCCAUUAGCUCAAGUAGCAGAGAAGUGUGCUUUGGAUCUAAAGAUCCAUACAGAUGAUGCAUAUGAGAGGAGGAGUCUAGACUUGAAGGAUUCUGGUGUCAGGGCAGGAGCCCAACAGGGUCAAAGUUUAUUUAUAUCAACCUUUUUUCAUUUGCAGACCCCUAAAUUUUUUUGAAUGGAGAUGUGGACCCUUUUGGAAAUCGUAGCCAUAUUCUGUGGGCCCCUAGGAGUCCACGAACCACAGAUUGAAAACCACUAUUCUGUGGUAACACCAACCUUUCGUGAACCCCUUAGACAUAGUCUGCAGACCCCCCAGGGGUCCGCAGACCAGAAAACCACUAAUUUAUACUGAUCUUCUCACGUUUCCUCUGGAAAUGUUUUUUUCCUUUUGGACUCUGAAAAUGUGCUGUAAGUCACUGCACUUUCUAUGUUAAUGUUCUUGUUUUGCAUUGCCCUAUUUGGGAAUUUCCAUUUUGAUUGUGUCUAAGA